GCCUGGGUGGCUUAGUGGUUAAGCGUCUGCCUUCAGCUCAGAUCACGAUCCCAGGGUCCGGGCUCCCUGCUCGGGGG
rnacentral:tRNA from 1 species